rnacentral:rRNA from 1 species
AUAUCAAUAAGCGGAGGAAAAGAAACCAACAGGGAUUGCCUUAGUAACGGCGAGUGAAGCGGCAACAGCUCAAAUUUGAAAUCUGGCCCCAGGGCCCGAGUUGUAAUUUGCAGAGGAUGCUUUUGGCGCGGUGCCUUCCGAGUUCCCUGGAACGGGACGCCAUAGAGGGUGAGAGCCCCGUCUGGUUGGAUACCAAGCCUUUGUAAAGCUCCUUCGACGAGUCGAGUAGUUUGGGAAUGCUGCUCUAAAUGGGAGGUAUAUGUCUUCUAAAGCUAAAUACCGGCCAGAGACCGAUAGCGCACAAGUAGAGUGAUCGAAAGAUGAAAAGCACUUUGGAAAGAGAGUUAAACAGCACGUGAAAUUGUUAAAAGGGAAGCGUUUAUGACCAGACUUGGGCCGGUUAAUCAUCCAGCGUUCUCGCUGGUGCACUUUGCCGGUCCAGGCCAGCAUCAGUUCGCUGCGGGGGAUAAAGGCGUCGGGAAUGUGGCUCCUCCGGAGUGUUAUAGCCCUUCGCGCAAUACCCUGCGGUGGACUGAGGUUCGCGCAUCUGCAAGGAUGCUGGCGUAAUGGUCAUCAACGACCCGUCUUGAAACACGGACCAAGGAGUCGUCUUCGUAUGCGAGUGUUCGGGUGUAAAACCCCUACGCGUAAUGAAAGUGAACGCAGGUGAGAGCUUCGGCGCAUCAUCGACCGAUCCUGAUGUUCUCGGAUGGAUUUGAGUAAGAGCAUACGGGGCCGGACCCGAAGAGAAGGUGAACUAUGCCUGUAUAGGGUGAAGCCUGUGAUUGGCUGGUGGAGGCUCGCAGCGGUUCUGACGUGCAAAUCGAUCGUCAAAUAUGGGCAUGGGGGCGAAAGACUAAUCG